rfam:Oryza sativa Japonica Group DNA, chromosome 12, cultivar: Nipponbare, complete sequence.
UAUAAGGGAUUUUGAGUUUUUGCUUGCAACAUUUGACCACUCGUCUUAUUCAAAAAAAUUUAAAAUUAUUAUUUAUUUUAUUUGUGACUUACUUUAUUAUUUACAGUACUUUAAGCACAACUUUUCGUUUUUUAUAUUUAUAAAAGUAAUUUGAAUAAGAUGAGUGGUCAAACGUUGCAAGCCAAAUCUCAACGGAGGGAGUAGA